rnacentral:rRNA from 1 species
UGGGGAAUAUUGCACAAUGGGGGAAACCCUGAUGCAGCGACGCCGCGUGAGUGAAGAAGUAUUUCGGUAUGUAAAGCCCUAUCAGCAGGGACGAAUUAAUGACGGUACCUGACUAAGAAGCCCCGGCUAACUACGUGCCAGCAGCCGCGGUAAUACGUAGGGGGCAAGCGUUAUCCGGAUUUACUGGGUGUAAAGGGAGCGUAGACGGUCACGCAAGUCUGAUGUGAAAACCCAGGGCUUAACCUUGGGCCUGCAUUGGAAACUGUGAGACUAGAGUGCAGGAGAGGUAAGUGGAAUUCCUAGUGUAGCGGUGAAAUGCGUAGAUAU